UCAGAGCUGAGAUGGAAGAAUGGAC
rnacentral:misc_RNA from 1 species